rnacentral:lncRNA from 1 species
CCAGCUUCCCAGACCCGUGGAGGGCUUUGCCCUCAGGAAUAGCAUGUCAUAAUUGGUCUGUGAGGUAUGAUAAGAAUGGCCCCAAGAAUUAGAAAAUAAAGUUGCCCUCUGAGAAAUAAUUGUUUAAUUGUUAUUAUAUUUUUUUUCCAAGACAGUCUUCAUCUGUCACCCAGACUGGAGUGCAGUGGCGCAAUCUUGCCUCACUACAACCUCUGCCUCCUGGGCUCAAGCGAUUUUCAUGCCUCAGCCUCCCAAGAUGCUAGGAUUACAAGUGUGUGCCACCACGCCCUGCUCCUCUGAGAAAUAAAUGAGUAAAAUGCACCCCCUGUGAGUGAGAUGAUGCAUCUGACUUGCAGGAAUAAACCAAGUGACAUCUGGAGAUCACUCAUGGAAGCUGGCCUGGAACAGGGUUGUGAUUUAGCGAGGGAAAGCCCAGUAACCUGUGGUGUUUCCUGUCUGGAAGAAGACAGUAAGACUGAGCCAGGAGUGUGAAGAACAGUGUGGCCUCUGAACCACCUGUCCCAGAGUUGGAAUGGUCACUCACUAAAAUGCAGGUCCUGGGCCCUGCUCCAUCUCUCCCAAGUCAGAACCACUGGCUGAGGGGCUGGGAAUCUGCACUUGACCAGCCCUCUCAGAUAAGUCAUCUGAACACGCAAGCUUGGUGGGCCUUGGCCCUCAGUGCAGGUGUGGGCGGCGCACGCCACCAGGACAAGGACACUGGGUCAGAGUAACCAGGUACUCUUCACAUGUUGAGGAUCACAUAUGGUUUUGUUUGAUCUGGUGCAGAAGCUAACAUUAGCUGAUUACCUAAUUGGGCGUAAUUCCUCCUUCGGGGAGUCUGAGGGAAGGGGCUCAAUGCUGGAAGUUUCCCGGUCCCGCGAAAGCAUGUCUUUGACAUCCCCAUCUUUGGAGGAUGGGACCAGCUGGGUCUUGGAGGUGGAAACGUAAUCCAAGUCCUUCCCAUUCACAGGGCUGCUGGCACCUUCCUUUCUUGCCAAGGAGCUGGAAGAAGGCACGGAAGCCCCAGGGUUCAGUCAUGGACAGUGAGUUAUCAGAUGCCAGGAUGAGUGACCUUUCUCAGCACUGACUACACUGGGAACCCCACCUCAUUCAGCUCCCAUCUUGUUCAUAUGCCUAGGUAAAAGCGCAAAUAGUGUGAUGCUAAGCCAGGCAGAUGUGGAGGAAGAAGAGGGCAUUUUUCUCCCUUUUAUCAGAACAAAGAGCCCUCGGUGGUCUUGGCAGGAGACGCUUGGGAAAAAUGGGUACAAUCUCCAGGGAUUGAAAGUGUAUGGACCUGUAGGAUGGGCCACAGGUUCUCAGGAACCACCACGGCUGCUGAGGUCUGAGUCAUACAGGCUUCCCCGGGAAGGACUGGCAGAGCCCCACACAGGGUGGUUCUGUCUGUGGAUCAAUGGUAAAGCAGGAUGGCUCUGCCCUGCUGUUCUUACUGGUCCACACCCUGUUCUCCACACCAGCUCCCAGAAAAGUAGCUGUCCUCCCUGCUGAAGUGACAGUGCUUGGUGCCUUUCUCCGAGAAGAGGCAGAUCUGAGGACCGAACUGGCAGGAGGAUGCCCAUGGCUCUUCCCAAAGGUCUGAGGAUAGAAAAUCUGUUUCUUCCUCUUUCCUCCUCCUUGCAACGAGUAUGGCUCAGGGAACUGAGCCUCAACCCAUUGAAUACUGCACUGAUUAUCCGGAAGCAGAACAGAGAGGGUUGGGGUGUGACUGCACUCAUGAAGAGGCAGGAGGAAGCCAGGGACACUGGCAUCCUCUGCUGCCUGACUCUUGUCCUGCGUGUAACAGUUUUCUACAAUCAGCUCUGGCCUGUGGCCUGUGCUCACACACUCUUGCUCACAACAACCUCAAUGACUUGGAUGCUAUUAUUAUUAUUCCCAUUUUGGAGAUGCAGAAACAGGCACAGAGCGGUUCUCAUGUCUCACAUGGGGUGACCCCUUGGGUGUGAGAAGUGCAGAGCAGGGAAGGGAGCCCAGGCGUCAGCUCCAGAGCCUGUGCUCUUACCCACCACUACACAGCACCCUGGGAGGGCUCACUAAGUGAACCUAAAUGCUCUUCCCACCUUGCACAUACAAACGAGUCUUGCCUGAAAGGUGAACUGGAGUUUUAGGUGACCUGAGUGCCAGUCGGCGGGAAGACCCUAGUGAAGUGAGGGGAGGGGGUACAACAUAAAGUACCAGAGGGCAUGGGCUCUGGAGAGCUGGUCCAGCUUCUUGCUGCCAUUCCACUACUCAUUGGUGGUAUGGCCUUGGUGAGUGACUUCCCCUCUCUAAGCCUCUGUUUCUUCAUCAGUGUAAUGAAGACAUUAACUCCCACCUCACCAGGUUGCUGUGAGGACGAGAGAUGAUUCUUGUGCGGUUCCAAACCAGCCCCAGCCCGGGCCCCACAGACUUGCUAGUAUUGGCAGCAGUGACGUCCAUUGUGCCAACCCAGUAGCUGAGACACCAGGGGGAAAGUGGGAACAGUGCACAUCCUCCCAUGCACCCACCGAGGAGGGCCAGCUGCUGAGGAGGCAGAGCGGCAAGGUCACUCACCUGAGUGGCUCUUUGAAUGUCUUCUUGGACUUGGCUUUCUUCCCAGGUUUGGUAGAGAAAGGGGCGACUCCGAGUCCAAAGUUUUGUCCUUCAGGCUCACCCACUAGGUGGCCAUCAACAUCCACAAGCCCCGCCUACAUAGAGAGGCCAGCCAAAGGUCUGUGAGUUAGAUUAAGGGCUUGGACCCCUUGGGGACCCACAUGUAUAUGGCCCAAGGCUCAGGGUGGACAUGUUCACCAUACACACCAAGGUUUGACAGCUGCUGAUGCCAGCCUCAGGCUGUCCCCUGUAGAGCGGUCCCUGACCACUCUGCCAAAUGUCCACUUUCCACAUGCACCCCCUCACCAGUAUGGCACCUCAUUCCAUACUCUGGGGAUCUUAAAGCUUAUUUCCAACCUAAUUCCAGGAAAUCGUCUUUAAUAUUAUUAUCCAUGUCUCUACCUUAUGGAAAUUAUUUUUAAUUCAAAAGUGGUUUACUCUUAACACAGGUCACCUGUGUUCAUUCUGGUGUUACCUUUAUCUGUUGCAAUCCUAGCUCUGGUUUAAUGCAUUAAUACUUGCUGGCUCUGCAAAGGUCUGAGGAUGGGAAAUCUGAGGUGAGUGCUGUCGGCAAGUAGCAACUAUGCUUACCUUCUGGAUAGCAGAAAUGGCUGCAAAGUCAUUCCUGUCAAUGAGGGUGUACUUCCUGCGCAAAGUGGACUCCACUUCCUGUUCCUGUUGGCUUGGGAGACAGCAAGAGAGAACAGCUUGUACCUGGGGCCAUGCUGAAUCCACUGGGGCAAGAACCAAGUACUGGGGUUAAAAGUCAUAUGGGUGAGGCCCCUUGUGUGGGGCCACACCUUCAUCAUGAACCAGACCAGACAAAAGGACAAAGGACUCACUUCCCCCUGCCCCAUUGCAUAUACCCACUGUCCGACCCCCAUACCCACAAGGGCUACCUUAUGUCAUGUGUGUCUGCUCCAAGAUGACACUUGAUAAGGACCGUAAGCUUCACUUGGGACCAUGUGGGGUUCUGUCUUAGGUUCUGUCUCUAAGAGGCCACUUGGAAUCACAUGACCAGCUUUAGUGACACCACCUAGCAUAAGCUGCUCAGACUAUGGGUAUGUUUGCACCCAAAUAAACCACAAAUGCCUCCUGAGGUGGGAGUGUGUGUUGCAAUAUUCACAAGGUGAAUAUUCACAAUGCCCUGCUCUGGGCACUCUCAGAGCUGGCACUCCAUAAACACCUCCUGUCCAAUUAAUGAACUCACUGAAUAUCCACCAGGGACCCAGGCAUGCCCCCAAGGACUCUGAUUUGGCUCUUCAUCCACAAGCAAGAAGAGGAGCUCUUGGAGGCAAGUGCCCAGAUGGCAGGAGAUGAAAAUGGCAGCCUGAUGUAGGAAUGAGGUAGGGGUGGGGGUCUCUCACCUCAGAACCACCCGGAACUGGUUGAACACCUCCUUGAUCUGUCUAAGGCUGAUUAUCUGGAGGGAAGACAGCAAGGCAGAGGUUAGACCAAGGGCACCUCGAGGGACCAGGGGGCAUCUAUGUUAGUAGAGAAAUCAAGACCCCUUGGCUGACCCCUGGACCAUCUGUCUCGAGAAGAGGACGUGUGCACACAGCCUCUCAGCGAAGUGGCAGCCAAGCCCUCCUCCAGAGCAGAGAAACACCUGAUUAAUAAUUUUAAAACUAAGUAUUUGCUGAGGCUAUAAAAACCACCUUUUCGAAG